UACAGAGGUCUCAAGCGUUGUUCGGAUUCAUUGGGCGUAAAGGGUGCGUAGCGGCGCGGUAAGUCGGGUGUGAAAUCUUGGAGCUUAACUCCGAAACUGCAUUCGAUACUGCCGUGCUUGAGGACUGGAGAGGAGACUGGAAUUUACGGUGUAGCGGUGAAAUGCGUAGAUAUCGUAAGGAAGACCAGUGGCCGAAGGCGGGUCUCUGGACAGUUCCUGACGCUGAGGCAACGAAGGCCAGGGGAGCAAACGGG
rnacentral:rRNA from 1 species